rfam:Triticum aestivum genome assembly, contig: Triticum_aestivum_CS42_TGACv1_scaffold_328733_4BS
UGUGUACUCCCUCCAUUCCAAAAUACUUGACUUCCAUUUGUCCAAAAAUGGAUGUACCUAUAUACUAGGACAUGUCUAGUUACAUAUAUAUUUUGACAAAUAGAAGACAUGUAUUGUGCAAUGGAGGGAGUAGAAU